rnacentral:rRNA from 1 species
CGCUCUUCGCUAAAGAUUCUGGUGUAUGAGGAGUCCUGCCUGCCCGGUGACUUUAGAGUUAAACGGCCGCGGUAUUUUGACCGUGCGAAGGUAGCAUAAUCAUUUGCCUUUUAAAUAGAGGCUGGUAUGAAUGGCAAGACGGAGGUUUGACUGUCUCUUUUUUAGGAAUGUUGAAUUUUAUUUUUUUGUGAAGAAGCGGAAAUAGAAUCGUAGGACGAGAAGACCCUGUCGAGCUUGAAUAAGAAUAGUUGAGUAUUGGAGGUAUUCUUAUGCUAAUUUGUUCUUGGUAAGGAUUAAGGAAAUUUACAUUAGGUAUAAUAAUACUGUGCUGUUUUUUAUUUUGAUUGGGGCAAUCGCGGAGAAGAUGUAACCUCCGUUAUAAUUUAGUAUUUAAAGUAACAUCUUUUAUAGUAUAAGAAUGUGUAUUUAUGGAUCCACUUGUAAGUGAUUAAAGGAAUAAGUUACCGCAGGGAUAACAGCGUAAUUUUUUUGGAGAGUUCAUAUUGAUAAGAAAGUUUGCGACCUCGAUGUUGGAUCGGGAUUUCCAGGAGAUGCAGCAGUUUCCAAGGGUUGGUCUGUUCGACCAUUAAAAUCCU